CCCGAGGAGACAGGCGUACGAGCGACGGAAGUACCGCACCACCGGCAGCGCAGAGGAAGAGAGAGGCGCAGCCAAAGCACCCUCGCCGCCCGCCUCCCCCCCCCGCCGGCCGCAGUUUCUCGCCGCCGCGCCGCCAAUGCCCUGCUCGACCCCCGCGCGUGAUCACGGAUCAAGGGUAGUUGGUACUGGUAGCUUGGUAUAGAUCAUGGUGCUAUUGUGUUUGAUAAGUUAUGAAAGGCUAAGGACACCUUUUUGUAUGUCGGGAGUACCUUUCAAAGUAUCAACCAUACGCGCUGAGGUGCUGCUCAAUGAGACAUUGUUGGAGACAUUCUAGAUCGUCCCUAAGUUGUUAAAGAGAGACUUGUGCUCCCGAACAUAGCAGCCAGCCUGUGAAGGAGGAAAGUGCAGCAGUACUCUUCACAAGGCCUAUUGACUCAUCCUCACCAGCAAAAUGUGUCAUAGAGAUGCAUCCAAUAAUACAGCUCAUACGUCCAAGAAGACACAGGAUAUAAACAAAGCGAAUUAAAGUGCAUAUGCCACAUAAGUUGAAACGGCAUGGUUUUUGGAGCAAUUAGCACAUCCCCGCUUGUUUCGUAUCGCAACGAUUAAAACCAACCGGUGCGUGUGUGCCCGUGGGGGUUAAUGUCACCAUCUGUUCCUCCUCCAUGCAGGACUUGCGGUUGGGCCGAGAUAAACCGACUUUUAGCACCUUGAGCCAAGAGAAAGCUCGCUCACUGAAGCACUCCGGGCGACCCUGCUGCCAUGGUGCAUGCAUUAUCUAGAAGGGGGUGGGAGAUAAGGGACGGCAGCGGCGUGGCGAUUAGCAAGGCUGGCAUUAGAAGAUCACGGGGGUAGGGCGAGUUUGACGAAUGAACGGGAGGGCAUCUUUUCCGGGGUCCCCAACAGGACAUAGGUCCACCCCCUCCCUCCCUCCCUCCCUACAGCACCACACAGG